rnacentral:tRNA from 1 species
UCCUGGUUAGCUCAGUUAGUAGAGCGCUCCACUGGGGAUAAAGAGAUCCGUGUUUCGAAAACCGGACCAGGCG